AGCGAACGCUGGCGGCAGGCCUAACACAUGCAAGUCGAACGAAGUCUUCGGACUUAGUGGCGGACGGGUGAGUAACACGUGGGAACGUGCCUUUAGGUUCGGAAUAACUCAGGGAAACUUGUGCUAAUACCGAAUGUGCCCUUCGGGGGAAAGAUUUAUCGCCUUUAGAGCGGCCCGCGUCUGAUUAGCUAGUUGGUUAGGUAAAGGCUCACCAAGGCGACGAUCAGUAGCUGGUCUGAGAGGAUGAUCAGCCACAUUGGGACUGAGACACGGCCCAAACUCCUACGGGAGGCAGCAGUGGGGAAUCUUGCGCAGUGGGCGAAAGCCUGACGCAGCCAUGCCGCGUGAAUGAUGAAGUUCUUAGGAUUGUAAAAUUCUUUCACCGGGGACGAUAAUGACGGUACCCGGAGAAGAAGCCCCGGCUAACUUCGUGCCAGCCGCCGCAGUAAUAC
rnacentral:rRNA from 1 species